rnacentral:rRNA from 1 species
CCCUUAGAUGUUCUGGGCCGCACGCGCGCUACACUGACGAAUGCAACGAGCUUAUAACCUUGGCCGAGAGGCCUGGGCAAUCUUGUUAACGUGCAUCGUGAUAGGGAUAGAUUAUUGAAAUUAUUAAUCUUGAACGAGGAAUUCCUAGUAAACGCAGAUCAUCAAUCUGCAUUGAUUACGUCCCUGCCCUUUGUACACACCGCCCGUCGCACCUACCGAUUGGAUGGUCCGGUGAAGCCUCGGGAUUGUGGUUCUUGCCGCUUUAUUGUGGCGUGACCGCGAGAACUUGUCUAAACCUUAUCAUCUAGAGGAAGGUGAANUCGUAACA